rnacentral:rRNA from 1 species
GACGAACGCUGGCGGCGUGCUUAACACAUGCAAGUCGAGCGGUAAGGCCCUUUCGGGGGUACACGAGCGGCGAACGGGUGAGUAACACGUGGGUGACCUGCCCUCAGCUCUGGGAUAAGCCUGGGAAACCGGGUACUAAUACCGGAUAUGACUCCAUGACGCAUGUUGUGGGGUGGAAAGCCUUGUGCGGCUGAGGAUGGGCCCGCGGCCUAUCAGCUUGUUGGUGGGGGUGAUGGCCUACCAAGGCGACGACGGGUAGCCGGCCUGAGAGGGCGACCGGCCACACUGGGACUGAGACACGGCCCAGACUCCUACGGGAGGCAGCAGUGGGGAAUCUUGCGCAAUGGGCGAAAGCCUGACGCAGCGACGCCGCGUGAGGGAUGACGGCCU